rnacentral:tRNA from 3 species
GCCAGCGUGUGCGAAUUGGAAUAGCAGCCUGUCUUAGAAACAGGUGUUUGAGAGUUCGAAUCUCUCCGCUGGCACCA